GUAAGCCUUGCUGCCCCACCGGCUGGUUGGCUGGUUCGAGGUGAGAGCCAGAGGGGAGAGCUGUCUCAGACCUGGUCAUAGAAAAAGAAGGUGCUUUUCAUCCUAUCUGGGUGCCUGAACGAGCAAUCAGACAUGGAAGAGAUAGAACCGAGAUUCAAGCGACUGAAGAUCGACCCGGAGAAGCCUCCAUCCAAAAGGAAGAGAUAUCGGAAAAAGACGAAGAGAAACCAGGUUGACCCAGCCGAAAAGCUGAUUUCAUUGGAAGAUGCGAAGAAGCUAACGACACAGGCUUCCCGAAUACUUAGACUCCUUGGAAAGAACAGGACCCCAGUCUUGAUGGCAGCAACAGUAAUUGCCCUGCUGGGCUGUCAGGAUGGAGAGACUUUGGAACAAGAAUGCAGAAAUUUGAAAGAGUGAACCACCGCCUCAUUUUUCAGAGAAAAAUGGGAGAAUAUGUGGGAAGCCAUUCUCGCAUGUGCGGCCCCCCUCAACCUUCAUU